GAUGGGUCUUGGGGGAGACCAAGGGUGCCCUGCUCAAUGUCAGCCCUGACUCUGUGCCACGUGCACUCAGCUCUGCCACGGAGGUGCAUGGCUCUGUAGACGUGGACGGUGAGCUGGGGAGGAAGGUGGUCUUGGAGAGAAAUGCCCCAUGGGGAGCUGAGACCUGUGUGUCAUGGGAUCAUCCUGGAUUUGGCUUAAAAUCCACGUGGCUGUGGAAAUCCCAGGGUGCACCGAGGAUCUGUGGGGGAGCAGGGGUAAGUCCAGGUGAACCUCGAGCUGUUCUCAGCCCUGAGGUUUGGGUCACUCCGAGAGCACUUGGGUCUCUGCCGAACGGCACAGAUCAUUCUCAGGCCCUUACAACCAUCCGGGUCACUCUAGAAUUCCUUUUAGGACUCCUGGGCUGGGCUGUGGCUAUUCAGGACUCUGGGUAAGAGCCCUUGGAGUCACCUGGGAGGUAGAAUCGCCAUUUUCUAGCAGCCAUCUUGAAUGGCAGAUUCCCUGCAGUUCAAGCUGGGGCUGCCCAAGGGGUUCUGGGGGGUCCUGGGUGCCUUCCAGUUGCCCCUCCAGGUGCACCCCCUCCUCCCCCAGGACACUGACCGGCGGGGGCCAUCGUGGGGGACCUUGUGCUCUCUGGCUCUGGCUGGCUCAGCCAGUGGGAGCCUGUGGGGCUGGGAGGGAGGAGGGUGUGAUGAGGCAUCUCCUUCCCGCUGGGCUCCUCCCCACCUCUUUCCUCCUUUUCCAAGUCCCCUGACCAUCCCUCCCCUAUCUCUCCAGGUCUCUUAAAUUACCACGGUGCCAGCUACAUGGCCCGGGUGGGUGGUUCCCCACACUGCCUACCCCUUCAUACCUCGCCCCAUUACACCCUCCUGGAAUCAUUCUCACUGGAGGCUGCACCGUUUCCUGCUGCCCACGAUGAACAAAGCAGGAAACUGUCUUUUCCAGACUUCCCCACGAAGUGAGGUUUUGACGACCUCAUUCUCCAAGAGCAAACCCAGCCCCUGGAGUCCGUUCUUUCCCUGCGCGCGUGGACACCCCUGCAGCAGUGGCUCCUUUUGGUGGCCGCUCUUCAGACACGUGCUAGAGAGCAAUCAUUGAUGACAACGUUUUCUUUCAAAAGGCCCAGAAAACAAAAUUAAAUCUUGGGACUCGAAGCUUCCUGGGCCUGUGCCACGAAGGCCCAUGCUUAGCCGGUCUGGUGCCAGGCUCUGUGACGUGUGGAAACCAGGCCCACCGACCACACAGCAGUGGCUGAGGAUGGCUCCCUCCUCGGCUACUCUCUGAAAUGGUAGAGGCCACUCUCAUGGCUGAGUGGUCUCCGCCGUUCUGCAGAGGUGUGGAUAAGAACAGGAGUUCCUGCUUGUCUCCUAGGGGUCCGUAUUGAACGUUGGCAAUCAGUGGAAAUCCUGUCUCAGGCCCUCUCGGGGCCCCACACUGAUCAUUGUAUUUAAAUCCUCCCAGUGUCCUGCAGACACCUACCUCCCAGACCAAAGAGGGACCUUGCUGGUGGCCAGGAAACAAGCUGAAGCACAGAGAGGAGAGAAAGAGACAGAGUUGGGUCCUCGGGUCACCUUAAAAGGCUGUGAGACUUUUUGCCAGGGCAGGGCCUGGCGGGUGGUGGAGAUGCAGGAUGAAGGACUUAAGGAGGGAUCUUUUACUUUCAGUGUGAAAGUGACCUGUGUUUUUAUGAGGGGGCUAGAGAAAUACUCAGAAUCUGAGAGCAGGCAGUUGGAGUGGGAUCUCAGCAAACUUCCGUGUCUGCAUGGUCCUGCAACCAUCGCCCUGGACAGAGGUCUCAGCUGGGUAGAGAUGGACGGUUGUCAGGGCACAGCCUGUCCUUAGGGGGUGCUAGGAAUGGGGAUUGGGGUGAAGAGGAGUUCAGGAAAGAGGGGUGAGGCAUGGGGAACCUGCUGGCUUAGAGGAUGCAAAGGGGCAGGUUUUAUGGACGCUUUAUGCAGGUCCCUUUCAUAAAGAUACUUGCCCAGCCUGAGCAGAAACCCACACCCUAGAGUUUGUUUCUUCCCUGUGGGCACCCCCCGCCCCCGCAGCAGCGGCUUCUUUCAGUGGCAGAGGCUGACUCUUUUUGCAGCUUCUCCAGCACUUGCAAAUGCAACUUCCUUGCACCCACUUCAGACACUUUACAGCUGGAACCCCUUCCUUCAAGGUUAGGGGCCCAGGCCCACAGCCCCUACCUCCAAGUUUCCACGUUUGAAGAAUCCCAACCUUUUCCCUUUGCCUCCUCAGCCUCAGGGGUGACACCUCAGAGCUCCUGUUUACCUCUUUAGCCACCAGGAAGACAUUAGGACUCCCAGAGGGUGACUCCAGGGGCAGGUGGCUUGGAGGACUGGCCGUGCAAGGAGGCAGCAAAGGGGCGGCCAUCUGCAAGCUGAGGGCAGAGGCCUUGGAGGAAGCAGCCCUGCCAGUGCUGGUAACUGCCUGCAGGUCGGAAGUCCAAACCAAGGUGCUGGAAGGGCUGGUUCCUUCCGGACCCUUCAGGGGAGAAUCUUUCUGCCUCUUUGGCUUCUUGAGGCCCCUUCCUGGCAUUGCUUCUUUCUCCACUGACUCCUACCAUCAGCGCUGAGUCCUGCCUGCCUCUUAUAAGGUACUUCUUUCUCCACUGACUCUUACCAUCAGCGCUGAGUCCUGCCUGCCUCUUAUAAGGCGCUUCUGGGAUGACUCCUGGUGCACCCAAUAAUCCAGGGUCAUCUCUCCAGAUCCAGGUUCAUAACCCAAUCACCCCCACAAAGGGAGGUCACGUGUUCCCAAGCUCCAGGGAUCAGGAGGAGGGCAUCUUUGGGGGUGAUACUAUGCAGCUGACCACAGCCUCUCUCCACCUGGGCUCCCACACCCACCCUAUUCUGCAGAUCUUCAGAGGCCACCUGGGAUGUCAGAAGCUUCCAGGAACCAGGAGGAGAUGGAAUGGGAUGGGCUCUGGGCCCGGCCAAGCAGAGCAGGAUAGGGCUGAGAGUCAUCUGAGCACAGGUGGUUCAAAUGGCAGAGAAGCUCCACGCUGGAGCGGGGAAGAGCUUGGGCUUUCCGGCCAGAAAGCGCAGGUUUUGGCCACGGCUCUUCUGCCACUCACUAGAUGUGGGAGUUUGGAGGCGUUACCCGAGCUCUGAGCCUUACUUUCCUCAUCUGAAAAAUGGGAAUAAUGGUAGGGUUAAAUUAAACCAAAUUUGGUCUGAGGAUGCCUCUGCACUUUGAGUCCAACUGCGACCUUAGCAGCAAAUGAACUGCAGGCCUAGCUUAGGAGUGUACUUUUGUAAGAAAUAGCCGAGUCUUAGCCAAUCACAGCAGCUGAGCUUCUAUAAAUCGCAGGUGGCUGCUGAGUAGUCCAUGUUCAAACACGGCAAACCAAGCUGUGACCAAUGAGCUGUCUCUGCAGCUCACUUCCAUUUUCUGUCUAUAAACACUCCCUGCCCACACUGUGGAGUGGAGCUCAGCCCUUGGAACCUCUUCUGGUCUGAGGGCUGCCCACUUCAUGAAUCCUUUGCUUAAUUAAACUCAAUUCAUUUCAAAUGAAACUCAAUUGAUUGCUAGAUUAAUUUAAAUUUAAUUCGUCUAAAGUUUUCUUUUAACAGUUCCUACCUUGUUGAGUUGUCGUGGGAAUCAAGUGGAAAUUUCUUUUUCACAUGGAAAGGGCUUAGCAUAGCCUGGCACGUGCUGAGUGUUCAGUGCACACUGGUUAUGAUGAUCACAGUUAGUGUCUCCAUCUUUGGUCUGUUCAGCGCUACAGUGUUUGGGGGCCAGCUAGGCAGUGCUGCAGCUGCAGCUCUGUGUGUGUGUGUGUGUGUGUGUGUGUGUGUGUGUGUGUGUGUGUGGAGGGGGCUGUGAGAUUGGCGGGCUCAGGAGAAGAUGACUACUAGCUGUUGCCAAAGUUUCUUUUCUGCAAGGGAAAGCCACAAGUCACUGGCUCCAAUGUGGACUUUUAAAAGGCCUUCCUUCCUUUCUCUCUUACUUCUGGGGAGCCCAUGGAUAGGAAAUGGCACUAAACUGACUUCAUCUCUGUACCCUGAUGCCUCCAUCGCCCUCAGAGUUUACGCCCUCGAUGAAUCACUUAGAGUGAACUGGGAGCUGUGUAUGAGGUGACGUCACCCUGAGAUAGAGCUCUGUGGUCACUGGGAGGUGGCUGUGUGCGUUAUCUCCCUGUGGCAUGCCAGGAGGCGUGUGUGUGUGCACGAGUGUGUGUGUGCAUGCAUGUGCAUGUGUGUCUUUGUGUGUGUGCAAGUGUGUGUAUGUGUGUGGAUAAGGGAGAGGGAGGGAGGGAGCUGGGCUGUCUCCCCUUCCCCACAAGUGGACCCUGCAGCUCAGAGCCGGAGGUGUGAGCUGAGUUUGGCGUUUGUAUGUUGCUUGAGUUGGAAUUUGAACUCACAGGGGACAGGAAAGGAUGCCUGUCCCCAGGACUGACUAACGACAUCAGGCCUGGCUAUUGAACUUCCUGCUCUGCAGAUCCUGGGUUCUGGGAGGAUGAGGAAAGGAUGAGCGAAGGCUGGGGGAUCUCUGGGGUGGGGGUGGACUCAGUGAGUGGAAAGAGUAAAGGUGUUGGGGGUGGACUCCCUGUCUGUGUGACCGCUGGCAAAGUCCUUGACCUCGGCCAGUCUGCGUUUCCUGAUCCAGGCAGUGGGGACAUGGUCCUUUCCCUCAGAGGGGUGGUGAGGAUUCAAUGAACUCCUUUAGGUAGAGCUUGCUCAGGAGCAUCAGCUGUAACACCUGUCCUGGAAGGUUGCUAGGUGCCCUCACCCUUUGUUCUGUGCCCACCUCUCUCCACCCCCUCUUCAGCCCGGAUCCAGACGAGGCCUGGGGAAAGUCUCCCAGAAAGCGCCCUGACCAGGGCGGUGCCAGCUGGGUUCCUGUUUGCCUAAACCCAAGCAGCAAGCUCUUCAAAGGAACCUAACAAACCGGACAGAGAGCUUUGUUUUUUUCCUCACAGCAAAGGAGACAGAAAAGUUUGCUGAGUAAGUCAGACACCAUUAAACUCACAAAAAGGCUCUUUGUUCCGGCCUGAGAGGGGGUGAAAAAAAUAAGCGAAGUGGUCGAAGGGCGUGUGUUUGCUUCCGUGUUCUUGGAGUGUUUGGGCAGGGCUCACCCAGCUCACUCUUCCUGCUCUCCCCCAUCUCUGAGUCCUCUGCCCCUGGUGAUCCCACCUGUUAUAUCAAAAAAUUGCACCACGGCCCAGCCAGAAGGAACGGCUAAGGGCUGUUAGUCCAGCCAGAGUUUCACUUUUAAAAUGAUGCUACCUAGUACUUAAGUUAGACGCUCCCGCAGGGCUUUCCUGUGCUUUUUCUUGUUGGAAGUGAUGUGACCGAGGCUCUUGCCAAAGGUCAGUUAGUUGCUGUCUGAGCUGGGCUUGGGACCAAGCCCCUCGUACCCAGCCUGUUGUCAUUUACUGUCAUCCCUAGUGCUAGCUGUGGAAAAGUCUGCUUGAUUCUAACCCUUUUGUCUCUAGUACAGUGAGAUCUAUGCUAAGAUUUGUUUGUCCUCAUUAAAUUAUAAAUUCUUCCAGGCAGGUCACUAUGUGGCUGGUGCCCCCCUGCAGUUGUGCAGUGUGCAACCUGUCAGACUGAACAUGGCAGCCCUGCUUCUGGGGUUAAUACAAUAUUAUUGAUUCAUUCUUCCAGCAGAUGGAACAAUGCCUGUGGGGGGCAAUUAUGCCUUUGCUUCUAAGACUCGUGCUUGUAAUGCCCAAAAUCCAGUGUCACUGAGCCCAGCUGUGCUGAGAGAAACCAGCAAGUGGGCCAAAAAGAAAAGGUCUCCUCCUCCCAGACACACUGGCUGCUGGAGAAAGCCUGUGUGUUCUUAGGUGGCUGGGCUAGGUGGGGGCAGGCUCAUGGGCAGGGGAACCAGUCUCUUAGGUGGGCAUUUCUGGGGGGCUCUCAUGGGGUGGAACUAACCAGCCAGGCCCAGUUCUCUCCUUUGGCAGCCAGAGAGGGGAGAAUGUCAGAUGUUUGUGCCUUGACUCAGCAGGUGACGUUGUGAACAUUUAUGAGCUUUUCUUCCUUUGGGCUCAUUUCUUUAUCUGUUAAAAGCAGGCAGGGCAGUGCCCAGCCCGCACCUGCCCAGAAGGACAGACAAAACAUAAAAGGGCGGGGUGAUUGUGAAAUAUCACUGGGCAUUGUUCAUGUCAGAGCUCCUGGUGCAGUGCGAUGCCCAGGACUUUGUGUGGGCAGGGCUGGUGCUGAAGUGCAGGAGAAGACUCAGCUCUGGCUGAGCAGGCGCUGACCCACACUGCUGCUCUGUAACUCACACCGUUAACAAUGGAAAGCGUUGCCUUGUUGUCUGUUUUGUGCAUCCAUGUUUUCAUUCCGAUUUUUAGUCCACAUCUCUGGAGGGCAGAAAAUCUGUCUUAUGCUUCUUUUUCCUUCAACUGCAUCCUUGGGAGGGUGGUAGAUAGAAGACAGACAUUCUUUACACAGGUGAGGCCCGCAGGAAGAACCAGGGCCAGUCCUCAUGGUCAUCACACACCUGGAGAGGGAGGCUUCUGUGACUUUGUGUGUGGUGACAACGCUGUGCUGCUUGGUCUUCCGAAUGGUUGGACAGCCUUUGGCAUGUGCUCUAGGACGCCCAGAGCUGCAGGUUGGCCUUGACUCCUCUAGCCUUGCCAAGUCCCUCAGGUAGAUCAGCCCACUGGUACCUUCAGCCGGCCGGCACCCUCCUGCCCAGGUGGGGCCAUGCCUCUGUUGGCUGCACUGUCUUUCAGGAGGGUGUCCUUGGCUCUGGCAUUCUGGGCUCCUAGAACAGAACUGCAAUGGUUUUCCUCAGCCUGCGUUCCUGACUUCUGUCCAGCUUGUGGUCUGCCUUGUGGCUCCCUUCCCUGGGGACCGUCCCCUCUGUCCCCCACCAGGAGGGUCAUGCCUGCCACACACUGCUCCUAACAACCCGCCCUGUGAUGGCUCUGGCUGGUGACCCGCAGCUGCUGGCCAGGCUGGGCUGAACCCGGAUGGCUGCGGAUCAGCAGAGCACGCGCCCCACCGCGUUGGGCCUGCUCUCGGAUAUGCUGCUGGUGGACUGACUCAUAACUAGCGCUUCCUCUCAACAAAAACAAACACCCAGGGAGAGACUCAAGGGCCCUCCUUGGCUAAACAAUUCUUGAGAUUGAGUUGGAAGGGAAAACCCAUUACACAAAGGGCUUUGCAGGGGAAGAGGGGAGAAGGCGAGAAGCCAGAACAAACACAAGAAGGCCCAAGCCACCCAGGGACUGGGAGAGGGACUCCGGCUCAGGUGGGCGCGGCCAUAUCCACCUUUUUGGGACUGAGACACUGAGCACAUUUGCUCACUGCUUUCCCUCCGACAGCUGUUAAAGCUGGUGCUUUGAACCCAGCCCUGGGCAGGGUCCUUGCUGGCUCCGGGAACCUCCAUUCUUGCUGGGCUGACCCUUUGCACAGCGGGCUAGGGCAGCCCUGGGUGUGGGGCUCCAGCUCACAGACAGUGUGAUCAUGAAAUGAGGAAAGUGUGGGCUUUGGAGUCUGUGAGACCUGGCUGCAAAGGCUGCUCUGCUGGCCCUAGCUUUAUGGGCUCAGGCAAGUGACUUAACCUCGCAGAGUCUCAGUUUCUUUAUCUGAGAAAUGGGUGGUGAUGCCUACUUGGGAGAUUGCUGUGAGGAUUAAAGAUGACCUAUGUACAGUGCUGGAACAUAGGAGGCAGUUACUACCUAGCAGCUAAUCUUACUUAAUUAAAUAUCUUCCCCUCUCAAAUAAACCUUCUGGGUCUAGCAAAGAAAGUUGAGUAAGAUACAGGCCUUCUCCACUGGACACACACAGCUCCUUGGGGACCAUCUGGUGGGAUCUCAUUCCCAGGCCCCAGGCCAGAUGCUCAUCAGCACCCAGUGAGGCCACAGCCAGCCCUGAUUCCAGGUCACUGGCCCACCUCUGGUCAUAGUGGCCUCUUCUGUCUUCUCAUCAUCCCACAGUUAGGCAGGACCUCCCAUGAACCAAUGGAAAAAUGCCCAGUAGUACAGAUGCCAGCAUGCUGACCAGGGAACAGGCACAGGUCACCUUGGGCUCGGUGUGGAGCCAUCAGCUGGCCAGGGGGACCUCACUGUCCUCCUGGUUGCAGAGGAAGGCACUGGGCUUGUGGGAAGAGUCUUAGAGAAAAACUUUGCAAUGGGGCAUGGCCACAGGACUGAGGGCCAAGCAAAGACUACUGAUGAGAAUUUCUGUGGGGGGAGAGUUUCAUUUCAAUGGAAGGAAGAACUUUUAUCAGUAAGAACAAAAACUUCACUGUUGAAGAAUAGAUUCAAGGGCACCUUCACCUUCUUUGUCCCUCCUUGACUUGGCCACUGGUGGUAGUGUGUGUGCACAUGUACGUGGGUGUGUGUGUGUUGUUCAGCUUAAUAAAUAACACAUCAAAAUCAUGCAGUGCAGUCAAAUUCAUAUGAGAAAAAAAUUUGUUUGUUCUCAAGUUCUGUGAAAGUAGAUAUACCUGAACCAGCCAACCACUGACCUCCAACUACCAAGUUCUGCCAAAAGUUGUGACACUCAGAGGACAAACCAGUUAAGCAGUGUUUGUCAAAAAAUAUUCCCUGGACAAGACUUAUUCCUGUCUGGGUGUGUCCACGUUACAAAAGCAUGUCUACACCACAUUGCUACAUCGAUCUUCAGAACGUCUGAGUGAAGUAGGCAGGAGGGUAUUGUCUUCCUUUUGCAGAGGAGGAAAUAACUUGCUCAAGGUUACAUGGCCAGCAAGUAGCAGGCUUGGGAGAACCAGGUCUUCUGGCUGCUUCACAAAGCCUGAUCUAGAAAAGGAGGGGGCUGCCUCGUGAGUCCCGUGGACCCAAACUGAGAUCAGAUGACAGAGGAUCAGAUCAUGGAGACCUUCUGGAGUUCAUAAUUGUACCAUGAAAGCAUUGUCCUGCACGACAGUGAGAGCAGAAGUUGGCACAAUUUUUAGAUGUGUAAUUUGGCAAUAUGAAUCAGAAACCAUAAAGGUGACUAUGGGCUUUGACCAAUUAUUUUCAUUUCUAGGACAGUGUCUUCAAGAAAUAAUCAGAAAUGGGCACCAGGUUAAAAAGUUACACAUAGGGUUACCGUAUGACCCAGCAAUUCCACUCUUGGUGUAAGCCCAAGAAAAUGAAAACAUGUGUCCACACAGAAAAAUUGUAUGUGUUUAUAGCAGUACUAUUUAUACUAACUGAAAAGUGAAAAGACCCCAAUAUUCACCACUAUUGAAAAAAUAAAAUAUGAUCUAUCCAUAUAGUAGAAUAUUAUUCUGCUGUAAAAAGGUAUGAAGUAGUGAUAUUUGCUGCAACAUGGAUGACCCUUGAAAACACUGCGCUAAGUGAAAGAAGCCAGGCACAAAAGACCACAUCCUAUGACUUUGUUUAUAUAAAUCCAGAAUAGGCAAAUUUGUAAAGCUAAAAGUAGAGUAGGGUUGCUUAAGUUUGGAGUAGGAAAGUUGGGAAGAUGCAGAUUCAUUGCUAAUGGGUAUGAUGUUUAUUUUAGCAGAACAAAAAUAUUCUAAAAUUAGAUUGUGGUGAGGGUUGUACAACACUGAAUUAUUUUUAAAAUGUUAAACUGUACACUUUAAAUGAGUGAAUUACAUGGUAUGUGACUUAUAUCUCAACAAUUUUUUUUCUAAAAAAAAAGGGCACCAGGAAGUUCUUCUCAUCAGUUUUCAUAAUAAUAAAAAAAUUUGAAACAAUCCAAGCUCAUAAGGAAAAGAAAUAAUCAAAUAAUUAUAGUACACCCAUAGUUGAUGUAUAAAGAAAUCAAAAAAUAUAAUACAUAAAAAUAUUUUAGACAAUGAGAAAAUGCUCAUGAAAUAUUAAAAAUUAUAAAAUACAAAUGUAUGUUUAGUGUGAUUUCCAUUUUAUUUUAAUUUUUAAAAAUUAAAUGUUUUAUCUUUUAAGAAAGAAUUUUAAGAAAGAAUGCAGAGAUCCUGUGUAUCUUUCACCAAUUUCCCCAGAUGGGAGCAGUUUGCAAAACUGUAGUACAAGACAGCAACCAGGACAUUGACCUUAAUAUGGUCAAGCAACAAAACAUUUUCACCACUGCAAGGAUCACUUGUGUUGCCCUUUUAUAGCCAUGCCCCCUUUCUUCCUGUGCCAUUCUCACCUUAAUCCCAGGAAACAGCUAACCUAUUCUUCAUCUCUAUGAUUUUGUUAUUUCAAGAUUGUUAUAAAUGGAAUCAUAUAGUGUGAAACCUUUUGGGACUGGCUUUUUUCACUCUACAUAAUUCACUAAGACCCAUCUAGGUUGUUGCACUUAUCCUUAGUUCGUAUUUGUUUAAAAACCUGUACACAGCGUGUGUAGUAGUUUUAUUUGUAAUAGCCCAAACCUGGAAGCAAUCCAGAAUUCUCCAGGGAAACCAUCUGGGCCUGGAGAUUUCCUUUUUUAGGAGGUUAAAAAUUACCAAUUAAAUUUCUUUAAUAGUUACAGGGCUAUUCAAAUCAUCUACUUUAUAUUUGAUGAGUUGUUAUAGUUUACAUUUUUCAAGGAAUUGGUCUAUUUCAUCUAAGUUGUCAAAAUUUACGUGGAUAAAGUUUUUGUGGCAUUCCAUGAGUAUCCUUUUGAUAUCUGUAGGGUCUAUGGUAAUAUCCUUGUUUUAUUUCUGAUAUUUGUAAUUUAUGUCUUUCCUCUUUUUUCCUUUGUCAGUCUUACUAGAAGUUUACCAAUUUUAUUGAUCUUAUAAAAAAACUAGUUCUUGAUUGAUUUUCUCUAUUUUUUUCUGUUUUCAAUUUCAUGGAGUUUGGUUUUUAUUUCUUUAUUUCUGCUUUCUUUGGAUUUACUUUUUUUUUAGGUUCUUGAGGUGGAAGCUUAGAUUAUUUAUUUGAAUUUUUCCUUUUUCUAAUAUAUUCAUUUAGUGCUAUGAAUUUUCCCCUCAGCACUGCUUUAGCUGAGUGCCACAAAUUUUGAUAUGUUGAAUUUUCAUUUUCAUUCAGUUCAAUGUAUUAAAAAAUUAUCUGGAGACUUCCUCUUUGACCUCUGGGUUAUUUAGAAGUGUGCUAUUUAGUUUUCAAGUGUUAUGAGAUUUUCCUAUCAUUUCUCUGUUAUUGAUUUCUAGUUUGAUUCCAUGUGAUUGGAGAACACACGCUAUAAGAUGUGAAUUCUUUUGAAUAUGUUGAGGUUUGUUUUGUGGCCCUGAAUAUAGUCUAUCUUAGUGUAUAUAUUUUGAAGUAUGGGAAAAUGUUCAUGAUAUAUUAUAUAAAAAUAUAAAUUAUAAAAUGUGUGUAUAGUGUGAUUCCAAUUUUAUGUUAACUGCCCUUUAUUUUCCUCCUUAUCCUCUUCUGAAUUAUCUAAAGUUAAGAAUUCUACCUUUUAUGAUCAGAAAGUUUUUUUUUUUAAAUGGAAAGAGCAGUGGGUAGUGUGUCAUAAGAUACAAGUUUAAAAACUGGGCUCUCAUUUUCUAGCAAUGUGACCCAGGCACUGCAUCUCAUUUUAUCUAAUUGAGCCUCAUUUCUAAAAUCUAUAAAAUGGAAAUAAUAAAAUGCCCACUUUAUAGAGUUAUUGUAUUAAACAAUCCAAAGCCAGCAUUUAUUAAAUGCCCAAGCAGUGUGCACACGGUAUGGUGGUGUUUCUAUUACAGUGAGGAAGCUGGACUCUUUUAUCUCUUGGGUCCCUUGCGACUAUUUGCUUUUAAGCCUCUGUGAUUCUUUCACUGAGGAGCAGACAGAAGUCUGAAACAUAUUGUGUCUGUGGACAGAACUCUCCAUAAAUUGCUGUUCUCCAGAUAUUUCUGGAAGCCUGGGAGUAUAAUUGGGAUGUAACAAAUUUGGACUUUUUAGCAAUGUUCCAAUUUCAAAUGUUCUGUCCUCUUGCUCCCCUAGUAUAACAGUAAUGUUUUCACCAUGCAAUUUCAUUUCUGGUUAGAAAAAUGUGGAUAUUAGGUUAAAAGAUUCACCUGAAAGGAGAAGAAAAAUUCUUGGUUGUCUGCCAUACCCUUUACUAGAAACCUUUCCCCUCUUCUUAGGCCUGUGAUUGUUCUCCAAAGCAGGUGAUUGUAAUCAAGCUCCCAAGAACCAGGUUAUCAGUCAGUUUUACAGCCCUAAUUUCUCAAUGGCAGGAAAGGAGUGGGGCCUGUAAGAUGAGUCAAGGAGGGACAGGGUUUCCUUGGUAUUACUUAAUUUUAAAGUCCUUUUCCCUGCCCAUGCAUGACUCCCAAUCCACCGCUGGGCUGGCCUCUAGAAGAACCGCUGUAGGAGCUCUCACCCUGCCAGGGCCACCUCCGGUCUUCUCUCUGUGUCUUCCACCCUUCCUUGGCCAGCAGACAGUCUUCUGGUUUUAGAAGUGUCUUUUCUUCCUACUUGUGUGGUAUUCCCUUCCAAAUCCACCCUAUCCAUGUGGAUGGAGUCUUCUUGACCAAGAGAGCCAGGGUCCAAGCUUUUCUAAGGAUAUUCCAGAGGAUACUAGGGUCUAUUCAGCCAAUGAACCCUUAGCCCUGCUUCCAGACUCGGUGUACUACCAUCCCUCUCAAAGCUCCCUGUUCAUCCAAUGUGUAGUAUCUACUGAUAAUUCAGCAUCCCGUGCCAACCAGUCAUGCCCCACUCUGUGAUCUUAGGGUGGCGGAUGCCUAUUUAUACAUUGCCCUUAUUUUAUUUUACACCCUUUAUCACCUGGGUCUGUGAGUUUCUUGGGUUCAAGGACUUUUCUCAUUUGUUUUUGUUUAUUUUGAUCAAGGUAAAUAUAUAGCAUAAAAUUUACCAUUUUAGGUACACAAUUUGGUGGCAUUAAGUGUACCAUAGUCUCAAUGCCUUAGUCUCAACACUAAGUCACAUGAAAUCAAACUAGAACUGUCACCACCAUCCAUUUCCAGAAUUUCAUCAUCCCAAACGGUAACUGUCUACCCGUCAAACAACAACCCCAGCUGGGCGCAGUGGCUCAUGCCUGAGGUCCUAGCAUUUUAGGAGGCCGAGGUGGGCAGAUCACUUGAGUCCAGGAGUUCCAGACCCGCCUGAGCAACAUGGUGAAACCCUGGCUCUACAAAAAAUACAAAAAUUAGCCAGGAGUGGUGGUAUACGCCUGUAGUCCCAGCUACUGGUGACGGGGGAGGCCUGGGAGCUGAGGUGGGAGGAUGGCUUGAGCCUGGGGAGGCGGAAUCUGCAGUGAGCCGAGAUUGCACCAUUGCACUCCAGCCUGGGUGACAGAGUGAGAUACUUUCUGAAAAACAAAAAAACAAACCAAAACAAAACAAAACACCCCAACAAACCCAUUUAUUUUUGCAUCUUCUGUCUUCUAUGUGAGGACCUUUGCCUAGCACACAUCCAGGCAGACAUAUUGUGACAUUGUCCACAGACAUGAGACAUACUGUGAAGGUGCCCUUGAGUUGUGCAAGACAGUGGUCAAGCUCCCAUCCCACUUCUUAACACAUGGCGGGACCUUAAAUGUUCUUAAAAUUGAACCAACCGGAAAGCAGGAUAUUAUGGGCACACUUUUAAUCCUUGGCUCUUGGGGUAAACUGCCCUCAAGAAAGACCUUGACUUUCACCCUGGGGAGAAGAUCUCUCUUUCAUGGCCUUCCAAAUUCUGCGAUCUGUGGCAUUAAUUCUGCUCAAAUUGAUUUCAUUUGUCUAAUAUUUUCAGCCUAAUGAGACAGUGGGCUGUGCUACGUGACCGAACCAGCAACUAAAGCAACAGGGCCUUCCCCUUGGGGUGUCCAUUCCCCAGGGUCGGGCGAUAGGAACUUCCUUCCAAGCGACUGAACCAGCAGCUACAGCAACAGGGCCUUCCCCUCGGGGUGUCUGUACCCUACGGUCAGGUGAUAAGAACUUCCUUCCAUGCGGCUCUCGUCUUUGAAAUCAUGACUUUAAUGGUGGUGAUAAGACCACAGAAACUUUUGCUACUUGAAUCCUCUCAAGGGCAGCUUAGAAAAAGUCAAUUUUGCUAGAGACAUGGGGAGACACAGAACUCCUCCAUAUGAAAUACAUCAUCCCUGUUUUAGGACAAAAGAGCGGGUCUGUGGGUAUGAAGUGGACGGCACCCUCCUCCCUUCAAGCGCAGCCCAGCCCUCCUCUCCCCUCCUCUCCUGCAAGGUGUCGGUGAUUCCUCCGGCUUGCCCUGGGCUCUCCCUUCUCAGACCAGGCGCCUCUGUGGUCAGCAUUGUGCGUCUGGUUGCUUACAUGCCCCUGCUUGUUUACGGUGAUUGUUUUGUGUCCACAGAUCCUGGAGAAUGAGCUAUUUGAGGAACAAGACUUAACUUUGCUAUGCAUAGCUCAUCGAGGACGUUCCAGCAGAACUUAUUCCCUGAGUGAUAAAGCAUACAGGGUGUAGGUUUCUGUAGAAAGUCAGACAGAAACAGAUGGAACUAAAGAAAACACAGUUAGAGGGGUCCCCAAAUAACUGACUUGUGCUUGUCUCUUUGGCUUUUGCAUUAUCUCUGAGACGCAGAAUGUACCUGGAACAUUCCCCUGGAGGGCAGGACCUGUGAAAACAGGAGCAGGAGGAGCUGGCAUCAGCUGUGCUUGCUCCCAGUUCUGCAGCCUGAAGGGAAAAGGCUCCUGAAGCUUUCUUACCACAGGAAGGAAAAACAACUUGCAUUAAGGCUGUGUCCCAAGAUCAAAGACAUUCUUAAACAAUGAAUGAGUACCAGGGAAAAAUAUGUUAGGCCAGAGUGGAAGUUGGGUUGUAUUUGGAAAGAAGUGGCGGUACCGAGCAAAGAUGGGGAGAGAGGGUCAGGAGUAGAAGAAACAGGCCGGGCACGGUGGCUCACGCGUGUAAUCUCAGCACUUUGG
rnacentral:lncRNA from 1 species